rnacentral:rRNA from 1 species
AGAGUUUGAUCCUGGCUCAGGACGAACGCUGGCGGCGUGCUUAACACAUGCAAGUCGAACGAUGAACCUCUUCGGAGGGGAUUAGUGGCGAACGGGUGAGUAACACGUGGGCAAUCUGCCCUGCACUCUGGGACAAGCCCUGGAAACGGGGUCUAAUACCGGAUACGACCAUCUCGGGCAUCCGAUGGUGGUGGAAAGCUCCGGCGGUGCAGGAUGAGCCCGCGGCCUAUCAGCUUGUUGGUGGGGUGAUGGCCUACCAAGGCGACGACGGGUAGCCGGCCUGAGAGGGCGACCGGCCACACUGGGACUGAGACACGGCCCAGACUCCUACGGGAGGCAGCAGUGGGGAAUAUUGCACAAUGGGCGGAAGCCUGAUGCAGCGACGCCGCGUGAGGGAUGACGGCCUUCGGGUUGUAAACCUCUUUCAGCAGGGAAGAAGCGCGAGUGACGGUACCUGCAGAAGAAGCACCGGCUAACUACGUGCCAGCAGCCGCGGUAAUACGUAGGGUGCGAGCGUUGUCCGGAAUUAUUGGGCGUAAAGAGCUCGUAGGCGGCUUGUCGCGUCGGAUGUGAAAGCCCGGGGCUUAACCCCGGGUCUGCAUUCGAUACGGGCAGGCUAGAGUUCGGUAGGGGAGGUCGGAAUUCCUGGUGUAGCGGUGAAAUGCGCAGAUAUCAGGAGGAACACCGGUGGCGAAGGCGGAUCUCUGGGCCGAUACUGACGCUGAGGAGCGAAAGCGUGGGGAGCGAACAGGAUUAGAUACCCCGCAUUAAGUUCCCCGCCUGGGUAGUACGGCCGCAAGGCUAAAACUCAAGGAAUUGACGGGGGCCCGCACAAGCGGCGGAGCAUGUGGCUUAUUCGACGCAACGCGAAGAACCUUACCAAGGCUUGACAUACACCGGAAAGCCGUAGAGAUACGGUCCCCCUUGUGGUCGUGUACAGGUGGUGCAUGCUGUCGUCAGCUCGUGUCGUGAGAUGUGGUUAGUCCCGCACGAGCGCACCCUUGUUCUGUGUUGCAGCAUGCUUUCGGGUGAUGGGGACUCACAGAAACUGCCGGGUCAAGCUUAUUCGACGCAACGCGAAGAACCUUACCAAGGCUUGACAUACACCGGAAAGCCGUAGAGAUACGGUCCCCCUUGUGGUCGUGUACAGGUGGUGCAUGCUGUCGUCAGCUCGUGUCGU